rnacentral:lncRNA from 1 species
UAAAACUUUACUUCGUAAAAAAUUACAAUGAGAACACUAACAAUAUACAGAUCUAACAUUAAGACAUAACAAACUUUACGAAAUUCUUAAUCAACAAGAAAAUGUAUAAAAUCUGUUGUUCACCACACUACGAAUAUAUAACUUCAAUCUAUCAGGCUUAAAUGAGCAAUAAUUAUAAUGUUAAACACAAUGUAGCACUGAUUUAUAAAUAUAGCUGCCCCUAUGAAUAUGGCUUAGUGCAAAUACAGAUUCAGUAUAGAACAGCUUCAUUGGAUGUGACAACUAGAACAUAUCAAAAGCUGUGUUCCCUUGAAGAAGACAUUAUUAAAUGACAGGAUUUAUAUAAAAAAAAUUUGCAAUGUUAUCAUGUAUAAAAUUCCCUUUUAUACCAUUCAUUUGUAAAUUAAAAAUAAUUUAAACUUUUCAAUUUAAAAAAAAACAUGAAUA